AGAUUGAACGCUGGCGGCAGGCCUAACACAUGCAAGUCGAGCGGUAGAGAGGUGCUUGCAUCUCUUGAGAGCGGCGGACGGGUGAGUAAUGCCUAGGAAUCUGCCUAGUGGUGGGGGAUAACGUUCGGAAACGGACGCUAAUACCGCAUACGUCCUACGGGAGAAAGCGGGGGACCUUCGGGCCUCGCGCCAUUAGAUGAGCCUAGGUCGGAUUAGCUAGUUGGUGAGGUAAUGGCUCACCAAGGCGACGAUCCGUAACUGGUCUGAGAGGAUGAUCAGUCACACUGGAACUGAGACACGGUCCAGACUCCUACGGGAGCAGCAGUGGGGAAUAUUGGACAAUGGGACGAAAGCCUAGAUUU
rnacentral:rRNA from 1 species